UUGAUCUCAAAUCAGGUAGGACUACCCGCUGAACUUAAGCAUAUCAAUAAGCGGAGGAAAAGAAACUAACAAGGAUUCCCCUAGUAACUGCGAGUGAAGCGGGAAGAGCUCAAAUUUAAAAUCUGGCGUGCCUCUGGCCGUCCGAGUUGUAGUCUGGAGAAGCGUCUUCCGUG
rnacentral:rRNA from 1 species